rnacentral:sRNA from 1 species
UACGUUAUUCCUCUGCUUGAUUCCUCAAU